GCAAGCUUUAUUCAGGUUCUUUAGUUGUAUUUGCUGUCUGUCCUCUUCUUUCUUUUUAAGUCUGUUUGAAUCAUUGAGAGCAGGUUACUUAUGAAAGUAUUUUUUUUGUAUUUGAAAGAUGCUAAGUGUGGGAUGCAGUAUGGCUUAGCUGUUGCUGUACUAUCAAACUUAAAUAUAUCUAGCUGCAUACACUUUCCUUUUAUAUUUUAUCUGUUUAGAAUGGUAGUGACUACAGUAUCUCCCUUAAAAGUUCAGCAGCAGGGUUAAAUAGGGUUUAAUUCUUUAAACAAGACUGUAGAAAUUUCCAUGCAUAUAACUGGACUUCUAUAUUUCCUUGAGUUGCAACCAUGUGGUUUCAUGCUAUACACUUGAUGUAACUGAGUGAACCUGCAAGCUAAACACUGAUUCUCUCUUGUUCUUUCUGUAGCUUCUUUAGUCUUCCCAGUUCGCGCUCCAUAACAUCAGGAAGAUAUGUAAAUUAGAAGAUUUAUUAAGGCCAAAACACCUCAUGCAGAAGAAAUUUAAUUGGUGCUUCUACUUUUUUUAUGCUUGCAAUGUAUUGCACAGAAGAGAUUCCAAAGCAAGAAGUGAUUUGGACAACAUUGCCUUGACCAGGUUUCUUGAUUAAGUAGACCUCUGAUAAUUCAACCAUAAAUUGUUAAUUCCAGCUAAAUGCAUGGCAUGCACUAAAACCAAAGAACUAAUCUUCUUACAUGAUGGGUGAAAGAACCCCAAACAAAAGUUUUCCAGUGGCAGACUGAACACACUUGGCAUGUGUUCAGCAUGAAAUAGAUGCUGCUUUAAACUGCCGUUGUAAAUGGGAGCUUGAUAUGUUUGUCUAUAAAAUUGGCUUUGGGUCUAUAAAGUAACAGUGUGUCCUAAUUAUGCUUCAUAGACAAAAGUCCCACUCCUUAUAACUUCCUUUUGUGGGACUAAUAAUAACUGCCCAAUGUAUUUCAGAUUGGGGCUUAAAAUACCAAAUUUUAACUAUCCCUAACCUUCCCGUGAAAUUUUAGAAUCUUUUAGCGCUAACUAUUUUGCAGAGGUUUCCCCUAUAUAAAAUGUAUUGUCAAGGUAUUUUCUAUGGAAGAAAGUCACCCAAUAGUUUCCUAAAGAGAAGGUGCCUAAUUUGAUAGAGGGAGGCUCCUCCUUGACCCAUUUUCUUCUCCUUCCUUACUUCUGUAUUUACAUCUGUUUGUUGUUACAGGAAAUGGCUGGAGUGCCCCCAAUCUUUUCCUAUCUGCAAAUAAUAAAUUGAACUUGAUUGUAAAACCAUUUUAAAAGGACAACUGAUUGGGGAGGGGAAGAGGAGCCAGGAAGCAUGUGCAAAGUGAUUGCCAUAGUGGAACUGAGAGGGUUGUGUUGUUGCCCAUGCUCUCCUUUUAGCAAACAGGGUUUAUUUUGUAAUACAAAGGCCUAAAUUCCUGCCCUGUUCAGAGAUAAGAUCUAAAAAAGACACCUAGGAAGCAAAAUAAUGUUAAACAUUCUAUUAACAAGCUGUUACUUGGCUAUCUCAUUGUGUUAAGACAGAAAGCUAUGUGGAUAGGGACCGAUAUGGGCUUUGGUGUAUUUUGUAAUUUAUUUAUAUUUUUAGCAAAAUAAGUGAAACCCAUAAAUAAAAUUGGCAUGUAUUGGAAAGGCAAAAUGUGAGAACAAUUGCUGUAAAGUUGGUGCCCUACAGUAUUCCUAAAAUGCAGCAGUUCUCUGGGAGGUCAUUCACAGCGUGCACUGGCCACUCUUCCCCAUUCCUCCUGACUACGGGUGGGAGUUCCCACCAGUAAUUCCAUAGAGAAAUUCCUGUUAAUGGCCAGCAGCACCCAGUGUCUCAAUAGCUGCUUACUUUCUUAAUCUCAGCCACCUUUCUUGGUAUCGCCCCGAAAUGUCUGAGGGAUGCAAGCUCUAUGACUGUAUAGCAACUGUUUCCAGAGUUUUCAUGUCCUUGUGCCCUUAGAUCUUGAUGAGCACGAAUUCAAGGGGAGAUGUUGUUUUGUGUUGUGAGGGCUACGAGUAAGGCACCAGAAGAUGAAGGCAGCAGCUGCAGUGUUUUACAAAUAAGAAACAGCCUGAAUUCUGUUAGGUAGGUGACAGAAAGUGGUGUAAACAUGGACAGGGACAGGGGAACGUGUCUCUUUGCAGUGCCAGCUUCCAGUCUAGCAAGAGGCCCAGAUCAGGUCUGUUGCCCUCACCUGACAGCAGCAUUGUCCACACAGGAUCCUGCUCUGGGCUGCCCUCAAUGUUGCCAGAGAUGCCAAACCACGUGCAAUUUUGGGAAGCACACUGGGGUGCUCAUUGAUGGGGCUCCCCCAACGAACAGCAAAGCUCCUCAAACCAGAGCCCCAAUGUAGGGCCACCUCCACCCCAUCUGAACCAGUUCCAUAACGGCAGAUCAGGGGAAUGGGUUACUCUCCCCAUAGCUCAGUUGGUAGGGCACGAGACUCUUAAUACCAUGUGUUUGAGUCCCAUGUUAGGCAAAAAUAAAUCCUGCAUUGCAAGGGGUAGGACUAGAUGAUCCUUGGGGUCCCUUCCAACUCUAUGAAUAUACUGCAUAUAUUCCUAUUAUAUAGCAUUCACGUUAUUUAAUACAGUAAAUAUAAACAAUCAACAGAGUUCAGUACCAUUGCCAUUCAAUGAUCAGACUGAAAGAAACUGCAGAGAUGUGAUUCC
rnacentral:lncRNA from 1 species